rnacentral:rRNA from 1 species
UACGUAGGGUGCAAGCGUUGUCCGGAAUUAUUGGGCGUAAAGAGCUCGUAGGCGGUUUGUCGCGUCGAAUGUGAAAACCCGGGGCUCAACCCCGGGCCUGCAUUCGAUACGGGCAGACUAGAGUUCGGUAGGGGAGUCUGGAAUUCCUGGUGUAGCGGUGAAAUGCGCAGAUAUCAGGAGGAACACCUAUGGCGAAGGCAGCUCGCUGGGACGGUAUUGACGCUGAGACGCGAAAGCGUGGGGAGCAAACAGG